rnacentral:rRNA from 1 species
UAACGCGAAGAACCUUACCAGGGCUUGACAUCCUGCGAACCUCUAAGAAAUUAGAGGGUGCCUUCGGGAACGCAGUGACAGGUGGUGCAUGGCUGUCGUCAGCUCGUGUCGUGAGAUGUUGGGUUAAGUCCCGCAACGAGCGCAACCCACGUUUUUAGUUGCCAGCAUUUAGUUGGGCACUCUAGAAAGACCGCCGGUGAUAAACCGGAGGAAGGUGUGGAUGACGUCAAGUCAUCAUGCCCCUUACGUCCUGGGCUACACACGUACUACAAUGCUACGGACAAAGGGCAGCAAACUCGCGAGAGCUAGCAAAUCCAAUAAACCGUGGCUCAGUUCAGAUCGUAGGCUGCAACUCGCCUACGUGAAGUAGGGAUCGCUAGUAAUCGCAGGUCAGCAUACUGCGGUGAAUACGUUCCCGGGUCUUGUACACACCG